CUACACAUGCAGUCGAACGGACUCUUCGGAGUUAGUGGCGGACGGGUGAGUAACACGUGGGAACGUGCCUUUUGGUUCGGAAUAGCUCCUGGAAACGGGUGGUAAUGCCGAAUGUGCCCUUCGGGGGAAAGAUUUAUCGCCAUUAGAGCGGCCCGCGUCUGAUUAGCUAGUUGGUGAGGUAAAGGCUCACCAAGGCUACGAUCAGUAGCUGGUCUGAGAGGAUGACCAGCCACAUUGGGACUGAGACACGGCCCAAACUCCUACGGGAGGCAGCAGUGGGGAAUCUUGCGCAAUGGGCGAAAGCCUGACGCAGCCAUGCCGCGUGAAUGAUGAAGGUCUUAGGAUUGUAAAAUUCUUUCACCGGGGACGAUAAUGACGGUACCCGGAGAAGAAGCCCCGGCUAACUUCGUGCCAGCAGCCGCGGUAAUACGAAGGGGGCUAGCGUUGCUCGGAAUUACUGGGCGUAAAGGGAGCGUAGGCGGACAUUUAAGUCAGGGGUGAAAUCCCAGAGCUCAACUCUGGAACUGCCUUUGAUACUGGAUGUCUUGAGUGUGAGAGAGGUAUGUGGAACUCCGAGUGUAGAGGUGAAAUUCGUAGAUAUUCGGAAGAACACCAGUGGCGAAGGCGACAUACUGGCUCAUUACUGACGCUGAGGCUCGAAAGCGUGGGGAGCAAACAGGAUUAGAUACCCUGGUAGUCCACGCCGU
rnacentral:rRNA from 1 species